UACGGAGGGUGCAAGCAUUAAUCGGAUUUAUUGGGCGUAAAGGGCGCGUAGGCGGGGAUAAUAGUCAGAUGUGAAAUCCUGGGGCUCAACCUCAGAACUGCAUUUGAAACUGUAUCUCUAGAGGGUAGGCGGAGAAAACGGAAUUCCACAAGUAGCGGUGAAAUGCGUAGAUAUGUGGAAGAACACCGGUGGCGAAGGCGGUUUUCUAGCUUAUUCCUGACGCUGAUGCGCGAAAGCAAGGGGAUCAAACAGG
rnacentral:rRNA from 1 species